rnacentral:rRNA from 1 species
GACAGAGGGUGCAAACGUUGUUCGGAAUUACUGGGCGUAAAGCGCGUAGGCGGGCUGACAAGUCUGGGGUGAAAUGCCGCGGCUCAACCGUGGAACUGCCUUAGAUACUGUCGGCCUCGAGGAAGGUAGGGGCAUGCGGAACUGUAGGUGGAGCGGUGAAAUGCGUUGAUAUCUACAGGAACUCCGGUGGCGAAAGCGGCGUGCUGGACCUUUUCUGACGCUGAGGCGCGAAAGCUAGGGGAGCAAACGGG